GGAAGACAGAAACCCAGGCCCACAAGAUUUUCGUUGGCUUCCCCUUCUCUGAGAAAGGUGUGAUUCCUUCCCGUUCACGGCCCAUUAUGGGACCAGAAACUGGAGACAUAAUCGUGAUCUAUUCUUCUGGAUUUUUUUUCCCUUCUUGAAAUGUGACUGAUAAAUCCUCUCGUGGGAAGAGCCGCUCCACCAAACCCUCACCCUCUCCUCACACAAGACCGGAUUUCCAGAUCUCUACCCAUCUGACCGCCAUCCUGCAUCAGCUCCAAUCUGAUGCUGGUGUCAUCCAGGGUUCUCCGGUCUGGGGGAAUGGAUAAUGUCCCGCUAACAGCGCAUCUCCAUGCUGAGAGCUGGAAACCUUCCCCCUGCUCACACAGGAAUCCCAGCCCAAGGAGCGGGAGAGAAUCACUCGCGUCUGGACCCUAGCUGCCACUUCCUGUCACAGCCAGGUCGGUGCUCCCGCAGUUAGAAAGCGAGGGGUGCUGAUGGCGUCGUUGCUGCUGACGGAGCAGGAGACCUCGUCUGACACCGCCGUCCCUCUGGCUCCGGUAGCACCACCGCUUACACUUGCAGACCCCACGGUGCGGCCAUGUUUGUCAUGUGACUGCAGGAGACUCCCUUCUCUCUGGGGCCAUGCGCUCUCUGGGAGCCUCACGGCAAGGCCGUGUCAGAGUUUGGUGAGGGAGGUCCUGGGGUUCCCACGAGGACCACCAGGAUGAGGGCGGGUUCUGGCAGCGGCCAUCAUGCCUUAUAUCCCCCCUCCUGGCCUUGUGGCCGAGGGCACUGUCCACACCAAAUCCCCUGCCCUCUGGAAGGAACCCUCUAGUGCCCUCCCUCCUCCUCCGCCCUCCUCUGCCACCACAUGACUGUUGGUGUCUGAGACUUGACUGUGGCCACAGGCCCCCCUCCCAGGUACCUCCUCAGCCCUCGUGCAAAUCCGUGAGUAUAGAUAGCAGGAGGCUGGAGGGGACACACAUACAAAGGCGUCAGAAUCUCAACUCUGACCAGCUAGGACACCUGGGACCCAGGGACGAUGGCGUCCCUCUCCUACUCCCUGCUCAUGACCAGAUGAACCCAUACUUUUGGGUAAAUGAAGACACGAGGGGGAAAGACAGUUUUUGAAACUUCUGUUUGUUUAGUAUAAGCCCCUAAGAGUUUUCGAUCUCCUUCUGAUGAAGAGAGGUGAGCAUUGACUCAAAAAUCGUCCAUCCAAGGGGCACCUGCCUGGCUCAGUCGGUUAAGCAUCAGACUCUUGGUUUCA